rnacentral:rRNA from 1 species
UACGUAGGCAGCAAGCGUUGUUCGGAGUUACUGGGCGUAAAGAGUGCGUAGGCGGUCCCGUAAGUUUGUUGUGAAAUCUCCCGGCUUAACUGGGAGGGUGCGGCGAAAACUGCGGGGCUGGAGUAUGGGAGAGGUAGGCGGAAUUCCUGGUGUAGCGGUGAAAUGCGUAGAUAUCAGGAGGAACACCUGUGGUGUAGACAGCUUACUGGACCACUUCUGACGCUGAGACACGAAAGCGUGGGUAGCAAACAGG